UACGAAGGGGGCGAGCGUUGUUCGGAUUUACUGGGCGUAAAGGGCGCGCAGGCGGUCUUGAAAGUCAGGCGUGAAAGCCCCGGGCUUAACCUGGGAAUUGCGCUUGAUACUCUGAGACUGGAGUACGGGAGAGGAGAGUGGAAUUCCCAGUGUAGAGGUGAAAUUCGUAGAUAUUGGGAAGAACACCAGUGGCGAAGGCGGUUCUCUGGAACGCAACUGACGCUGAGACGCGAAAGCGUGGGGAGCAAACAGG
rnacentral:rRNA from 1 species